rnacentral:rRNA from 1 species
AUUGAACGCUGGCGGCAUGCUUUACACAUGCAAGUCGAACGGCAGCGCGGGCUUCGGCCUGGCGGCGAGUGGCGAACGGGUGAGUAAUGCAUCGGAACGUGCCCAGUAGUGGGGGAUAGCCCGGCGAAAGCCGGAUUAAUACCGCAUACGACCUGAGGGUGACAGCGGGGGACCGAAAGGCCUCGCGCUAUUGUAGCGGCCGAUGUCGGAUUAGCUAGUUGGUGGGGUAAAGGCUUACUAAGGCGACGAUCCGUAGCUGGUCUGAGAGGACGACCAGCCACACUGGGACUGAGACACGGCCCAGACUCCUGCGGGAGGCAGCAGUGGGGAAUUUUGGACAAUGGGGGCAACCCUGAUCCAGCCAUGCCGCGGGCGGGAAGAAGGCCUUCGGGUUGUAAACCGCUUUUGUUCGGGAAGAAAUCCUCUGGGCUAAUACCCCGGGGGGAUGACGGUACCGGAAGAAUAAGCACCGGCUAACUACGUG